rnacentral:lncRNA from 1 species
CUGGGUUUAAAAAAGCGUGCUAAGGCGUCGCUAAGGCGUGAGGCGACCUUGGUUGGGAGGGUCACCGCCUCGAGGAGAUGAAGCGAGGCGAAUUCGAGUAAGCGUUGCUUCAACCUCGCCUCAAGCCGCCUUUCACGCCUCACGCCUCAUCACGCUUCAUCGCUUAUGCAACUAAAGGUAAGAUUCCUAUCACAAGUUAUUAACAUAUAAUAUUCACUUUCUUUUUAUGGUUUCAAAACUUCAAUUCACUUCAAACUAUUUAGUGUCUUUACAUUUUUGAAUAGAUAUUUUCAAGCGUGAAUCUUAUCCAAGUCUAUAUUCAUUUUUUUUUCUGGUUCUAUAAAUCUUUUGUUUCUAAAUCUAUGAAGACUUAGGUUUAUGUUUAGUUUCUUUUAAGGAUUUGUUGGUUUGAUUCUCUUUUUUUGAAGACUUUAUUGGAUCAAUUCUCUGUUUUAUGCUCUGUUUAUGAAUACUUAUUAAUUUUUAAUUUUAAUGAUUUAGGAUAAUGACAAAGAAUGGAAGAACCUGAAUCAUUCUAUGACUAACCACUAAUCCUAUGUGUAUUUUUUCAGGCUACGCCUUAAGUUGGUGAGGCGGUCUGAAGCGACGCUAUAGCUUUGAGGCGAGCUUGACCUUCCUCACCGCCUCAAGGCUUGAAGCGCU